rnacentral:rRNA from 1 species
CAGCAGCCACGGGAAUACGUAGGUGGCAAGCGUUGUCCGGAAUUAUUGGGCGUAAAGGGCUCGCAGGCGGUUUCUUAAGUCUGAUGUGAAAGCCCCCGGCUCAACCGGGGAGGGUCAUUGGAAACUGGGAAACUUGAGUGCAGAAGAGGAGAGUGGAAUUCCACGUGUAGCGGUGAAAUGCGUAGAGAUUAGGAGGAACACCAGUGGCGAAGGCGGCUUUUUGGCCUGUAACUGACACUGAGGCGCGAAAGCGUGGGGAGCAAACAGGAUUAGAUACCCCGGUAGUCCCUGUCUCUUAUAC